GGUUUUAGGUAUCAAUCAAAUGGAUUUGUUCCGAAUUAAAUGCAGAUAAAAAUAAAUUCGAGUAUCACUCGCGAAGCGAAGUAGUUCUGUAAAGGCUGACGUCACGCGCGUCCUCACCGCACUCUUCUGAAUUUUUAUCUGCCGAUGUAGUACUUGUACGGAAUGCAAGUAAACAAUGAAGUGUCAGGAAGCGAAACGUUAGUGCUGACGGGUGGUGGGUGGUUGCCGUUUGGCAGCUGGUUCACCUCCACGACAGGCUGAGGGUCAGUUCCGGCGGCGAGGCCCCGCUCCACUCACAUGCAACAAUUUAAUUCGAUGCAAUAAACCAUCCGGAACAUUGGAAAAUUUAGGAUGCAGUGGAGACUUUCGGUUCUCGAGAAUAAGAACUACAGUCGGUGGUAACAGACUCGGAUUAUACUCACACGAACUCCAUGAAGCGUUGCAGACUACAAUAAACCUGUGGCUCCAUAAUAGACCCGGUACAUUUCGUCGAUAGACAAAAUCGACCCCAUCUAGACUGUAUCACUUACGGUUAUUUCAAUAUAUUUAUAGAUACGCUGCCAAAAAUAGCGUGCAUUUUUUUAGCUCGAGCAAUUUAGCUCAAGUCUCGACGCCUGGUGUACGUUUGGUGACAUCUUUAGGGCUAGGUUCUGUACAGUACAACGCACGCGACAAUAUCCAUAUUUUAUAAUAUAACCUUUUUAACAAUACUAUAUUUUGAGUACAAAUACACAAUUGUAACAAAACAAUAGAAAUAAAUGGUAUUUUUCCGUC